GGAGCUAUUGGCUUUGAAUUGUAUUGUGGAAAUGUAUUACCAACAGAGGUGCAGGUGCCAGCCUAUUGAAAUAAAGCGUCAAUGAGGGUGAGAAUCCUGUUUGUCAUGUGCAGCCCUUUGUGCACGGUGUAUAUUUGCUGAGUCACACUCCUUGGCAUUGGAAUGCAAAGUGGGUGGUAAGUUUCAUGUAAAGGUAAACAUGCAAUUGAGACUGAUAGCACACAAGUACCAUGAGGGAAAUAUGAAAAGGACUUUGAAAAGAGAAUUAAAUGAGUUUGUAUUUGCUGAACACAAAGUAAACAGACUUGAUUUGCUUGGUGGGAGUGUUGCACUUGCUUGACAAGAGCUUUGGGCUGUGGGUGUAAUGAUUCUUUCUUUGCAUGCCAGUUUCUAUUUGUACAUCUGAUUACCUUUGCACAUGAAUGAUAAGUCUCCUGUGGGGGGUGGAUUGCAUGUGCAUGUAAUGAUUUGUGUUUUGAUAAAUGUGUCUGGUGUAUGUGUGUGUUCCUGUGCUUGGGGAUGCUUCCUUCCUUGGACUUACAAGCCCUGACACACACAUGCUGGCAAAAUGCUUCUGCUUGACCCGUCUUGAAACACGGACCAAGGAGUCUAACAGAUGUGCAAAGUUUGAAGGUGGUAUACCUUUGUGUGCAAUGAAAGUGUCAGCUGGGAUAUGUGCACCAGCACCCAAUUAAUUAGCGGACAGAGGUUUGAGUUGGAGCAUAUCUAUUAGGACCCGAAAGAUGGUGAACUAUGCCUGAACAGAAUGAAUUCAGAGGAAACUCUGAUGGAGGUUCGUAUCGAUACUGACGUGCAAAUCGUUCGUCAUAUUUGGGUAUAGGGGCGAAAGACUAAUCGAACCAUCUAGUAGCUGGUUCCCUCCGAAGUUUCCCUCAGGAUAGCUGGAGUUGCUCAGUUUUAUCAGGUAAAGCGAAUGAUUAGAGGAAUUGGGGACAGGUUUGUCUUUGACCUAUUCUCAAACUUUAAAUGGGUAAUA
rnacentral:rRNA from 1 species